GGCUGGUGCGAAGGUAGUGAGUUCUCUCAAUUGAUUGUUCACAGUCAGUUACAGAACGAACUCCUCGUUCUACUUUUUCCCCCUUCUCACUACUGCACUUGACUAGUCUUAA
rnacentral:Y_RNA from 1 species